CACCGGUCGACAGUUGGCCCGCUCUCGUGAUGAGUCAAAGGCAGGACGAAACCAGUG
rnacentral:hammerhead_ribozyme from 1 species